rnacentral:rRNA from 1 species
UACGUAGGGGGCAAGCGUUGUCCGGAAUCAUUGGGCGUAAAGAGCGUGUAGGCGGCUCGAUAAGUCCGCUCUGAAAGCCCGGGGCUCAACCCCGGGAGGCGGGCGGAUACUGUCGAGCUAGAGUCCGGAAGAGGCGAGUGGAAUUCCUGGUGUAGCGGUGAAAUGCGCAGAUAUCAGGAGGAACACCAAUGGCGAAGGCAGGUCUCUGGGCCGCAACUGACGCUGAGGAGCGAAAGCAUGGGGAGCGAACAGG